GAUGAACGCUGGCGGCGUGCCUAAUACAUGCAAGUCGAGCGAACAGAUAAGGAGCUUGCUCCUUUGACGUUAGCGGCGGACGGGUGAGUAACACGUGGGUAACCUACCUAUAAGACUGGGAUAACUUCGGGAAACCGGAGCUAAUACCGGAUAACAUUUGGAACCGCAUGGUUCUAAAGUGAAAGAUGGUUUUGCUAUCACUUAUAGAUGGACCCGCGCCGUAUUAGCUAGUUGGUAAGGUAACGGCUUACCAAGGCGACGAUACGUAGCCGACCUGAGAGGGUGAUCGGCCACACUGGAACUGAGACGCGGUCCAGACUCCUACGGGAGGCAGCAGUAGGGAAUCUUCCGCAAUGGGCGAAAGCCUGACGGAGCAACGCCGCGUGAGUGAUGAAGGGUUUCGGCUCGUAAAACUCUGUUAUUAGGGAAGAACAAAUGUGUAAGUAACUGUGCACGUCUUGACGGUACCUAAUCAGAAAGCCACGGCUAACUACGUGCCAGCAGCCGCGGUAAUACGUAGGUGGCGAGCGUUAUCCGGAAUUAUUGGGCGUAAAGCGCGCGUAGGCGGUUUCUUAAGUCUGAUGUGAAAGCCCACGGCUCAACCGUGGAGGGUCAUUGGAAACUGGGAAACUUGAGUGCAGAAAGAGGAAAGUGGAAUUCCAUGUGUAGCGGUGAAAUGCGCAGAGAUAUGGAGGAACACCAGUGGCGAAGGCGACUUUCUGGUCUGUAACUGACGCUGAUGUGCGAAAGCGUGGGGAUCAAACAGGAUUAGAUACCCUGGUAGUCCACGCCGUAAACGAUGAGUGCUAAGUGUUAGGGGGUUUCCGCCCCUUAGUGCUGCAGCUAACGCAUUAAGCACUCCGCCUGGGGAGUACGACCGCAAGGUUGAAACUCAAAGGAAUUGACGGGGACCCGCACAAGCGGUGGAGCAUGUGGUUUAAUUCGAAGCAACGCGAAGAACCUUACCAAAUCUUGACAUCCUUUGAAAACUCUAGAGAUAGAGCCUUCCCCUUCGGGGGACAAAGUGACAGGUGGUGCAUGGUUGUCGUCAGCUCGUGUCGUGAGAUGUUGGGUUAAGUCCCGCAACGAGCGCAACCCUUAAGCUUAGUUGCCAUCAUUAAGUUGGGCACUCUAGGUUGACUGCCGGUGACAAACCGGAGGAAGGUGGGGAUGACGUCAAAUCAUCAUGCCCCUUAUGAUUUGGGCUACACACGUGCUACAAUGGACAAUACAAAGGGCAGCUAAACCGCGAGGUCAUGCAAAUCCCAUAAAGUUGUUCUCAGUUCGGAUUGUAGUCUGCAACUCGACUACAUGAAGCUGGAAUCGCUAGUAAUCGUAGAUCAGCAUGCUACGGUGAAUACGUUCCCGGGUCU
rnacentral:rRNA from 1 species